GUAUGUAAUGUACUCUUUCUUCGGAACACUCGGUGACAGGUGGUGCAUGGUUGUCGUCAGCUCGUGUCGUGAGAUGUUGGGUUAAGUCCCGCAACGAGCGCAACCCCUGUCCUUAGUAGCCAGCAGUUCGGCUGGGCACUCUAGGGAGACUGCCAGGGAUAACCUGGAGGAAGGCGGGGAUGACGUCAAAUCAUCAUGCCCCUUAUGACUUGGGCUACACACGUGCUACAAUGGCGUAAACAAAGGGAAGCGAAAAGGUGACUUCUAGCAAAUCCCAAAAAUAACGUCCCAGUUCGGACUGUAGUCUGCAACUCGACUACACGAAGCUGGAAUCGCUAGUAAUCGCGAAUCAGAAUGUCGCGGUGAAUACGUUCCCGGGUCUUGUACACACCGA
rnacentral:rRNA from 1 species